GACACGCCUCGGGGUGCACAGGGAUCCUCCGCCGGUAGGAGGCAGGAACUUGGAACUGGGAGCUGGCAACUUGGAAACAGAAGCCGGGUGCCGCACAAAUGGCAACCUAUUUUCCAAAGCCGCUGCCGCAUCUAAUUUAUGCCAAGAGCAAUCGCAACUGCCAAUGCCGACUUAUAAACGAGGUGAACUUUUCGCUCUGGCCAGAAGUUCAGAGGGCAAUAAACUACGCGGCUUGUUUAUUGUUUUAGCCUGAAUGAGCUUAAAGCAGGAGUGCCUUCCCCUGUGUGAUAUGGUUUAGUAUUCAAAGGUUAAAUGGGUAAAAAGGAAUUUUAUGGCGCGAUUUGACUCGCAUAUUUCGAUUUGCUUAUUUAAUGUGCUAGUGCUUAAAUACAGUGAAAUAUAAAUAACCAAAUGAAAUGUCAAGCGAUCUACCUCACAUUUAAUAGCUAUAAAUAGUGCGGGAAGUACACAAUUCCUUUUCAUUUAGUUUCAUUUGGACUUCUUUGCUGUUUCCUUUGAGAAAGGAUUUAGGACUCCACCCAUCGGGAAUACAAAACCUCCUGGCAAGUGUCACUUAAAGGCAUAUCGUUUGUAUUUUUCUGGCCCGAAUUCUUUUUGCACCGAAACUGCAAUUCGAGAAAUGCAGCCAACGUUUUUCCGCCAGCACCAAAACACUUUUCUUUCUUUCAUUUCGGCUCUCAGUCCCUUCCAGCGCUUUCAAUUUGUGUGUACAUAAAUUUCGAAAUGGACUUCUCGUGUUGGGGCGCCCGACAGCAGCACACAAAAAAAAGUGUUUAAAAAAAAUGCAAACAGAAAUACAAAAGUCGGGGAAAAUAAAUAAAAAUGGAGUGGAUUGGAGUGGAGUGGACCAUUGCGGAGCGGAGCGGAGAAAGCCCAAAAGAAAUGGCGAGCGGAAAGAAGUGGCCAUGAAUGCAGUGACAAGAACAACAACAGCGACAGCUGGAGAUAGUAUUCCUUGUUCCAUGGCGAAACUGCAUAAAUAUCGCCACAAGGACCCUGGACAAACGCCAAUCGAAAGUUGCGUUGGCUGGCCGAAAUGAAUGUACGAGUCUCGUUUCAAAAACUUAGAAGUGCAUAAAUUGGGCCUGGGAAUUUAAAUACUAUAUAUAUAUUUUAGCAAACUCCCGCAGUGCCACAAUGUGGGCCAAAUUCUUAGCAUUCAGCUCGAUGGUUGUAUAACUUCAAGUCUUGACGAAAAGGGCGAAGCUUUUCCUUUGAUUGUGUGGCGAUUUCGUUGGCCAAUGGAGCAUGAAAUUACAGAGGGGAGUGGCGAUGGCAAGGGGGCCGGUACUUGUGUGAACAUGGAAAAUGCUCACAUAACCAUGCA
rnacentral:sRNA from 1 species